CUGCCCAGUGAUUAAGUUUAAACGGCCGCGGUAUCCUAACCGUGCAAAGGUAGCAUAAUCACUUGCCUAUUAAUUGUAGGCUAGAAUGAACGGAUAAACGUAAUAAAACCUGUCUCCAUCAUUAAGAUAUAAAUUAUCAUUUACACGAAGAGAAGUAAAUGAACUCGAAGGACAAGAAGACCCUAUAGAGCUUUAUUUUAAAUGUAACAAACUAUUAUAUAAGAAUUUGGUUGGGGCGACCUAGGGAAAUAACAAAACACCCUACACUAUAAAGAUCUAUAAAUCGACAAAGUGACCCUUAUAAAGAUCAUAAAAACAAGCUACCUUAGGGAUAACAGGCUAAUCUCAUUUAAGAGUCCAUAUCUACAAUGAGGUUUGGCACCUCGAUGUUGGCUUAGGGUAUCACCUUAGCGCAAAAGUUGAGUAAAGAUGGUUUGUUCAACCAAUAACCCCU
rnacentral:rRNA from 1 species